rnacentral:rRNA from 1 species
AUUGAACGCUGGCGGCAUGCCUUACACAUGCAAGUCGAACGGUAACAGGUCUUCGGAUGCUGACGAGUGGCGAACGGGUGAGUAAUACAUCGGAACGUGCCUAGUAGUGGGGGAUAACUACUCGAAAGAGUGGCUAAUACCGCAUGAGAUCUACGGAUGAAAGCAGGCGCACGCAAGACCUCGUGUUACUAGAGCGGCCGAUGGCAGAUUAGGUAGUUGGUGGGAUAAAAGCUUACCAAGCCGACGAUCUGUAGCUGGUCUGAGAGGACGAUCAGCCACACUGGGACUGAGACACGGCCCAGACUCCUACGGGAGGCAGCAGUGGGGAAUUUUGGACAAUGGGCGAAAGCCUGAUCCAGCAAUGCCGCGUGCAGGAUGAAGGCCUUCGGGUUGUAAACUGCUUUUGUACGGAACGAAAAGCCCCGGGUUAAUACCCUGGGGUCAUGACGGUACCGUAAGAAUAAGCACCGGCUAACUACGUGCCAGCCGCCGCCGUAA